rnacentral:rRNA from 1 species
GACGAACGCUGGCGGCGUGCUUAACACAUGCAAGUCGAACGGUAAGGCCCUUCGGGGUACACGAGUGGCGAACGGGUGAGUAACACGUGGGUGAUCUGCCCUGCACUUCGGGAUAAGCCUGGGAAACUGGGUCUAAUACCGGAUAGGACCACUGCCUGCAUGGGUGGUGGUGGCAAGCUUUUGCGGUGUGGGAUGGGCCCGCGGCCUGUCAGCUUGCUGGUGGGGUGAUGGCCUACCAAGGCGACGACGGGUAGCCGGCUUGGGAGGGUGACCUGCCCCACUGGGAAUUACAUACGGCCCAGCAUCCUCUGGGAGGAAGCAGUGGGGUAUAUUGCACAAUGGGCCCAAGCCUGAUGCAGCGACGCCGCGUGAGGGAUGACGGCCUUCUGGUUGUAAACCUCUUUCACCAUGGACGAAGCUGCAUCUUUUUGGGUGUGGUGACGGUAGGUGGGGAAGAAGCACCGGCCAACUACGUGCCAGCAGCCGCCGUAA